rnacentral:rRNA from 1 species
CAGAUUGAACGCUGGCGGCAGGCCUAAUACAUGCAAGUCGAACGGUAACAUAGGAAAAGCUUGCUUUCCUGAUGACGAGUGGCGGACGGGUGAGUAAAGUUUGGGAAGCUACCUGAUAGAGGGGGACAACAGUUGGAAACGACUGCUAAUACCGCAUACAGCCUUCGGGUGAAAGCAGCAAUGCGCUAUCAGAUGCGCCCAAAUGGGAUUAGCUAGUAGGUGAGGUAAAGGCUCACCUAGGCGACGAUCUCUAGCUGGUCUGAGAGGAUGAUCAGCCACAUUGGGACUGAGACACGGCCCAGACUCCUACGGGAGGCAGCAGUAGGGAAUAUUGCACAAUGGAGGAAACUCUGAUGCAGCCAUGCCGCGUGUGUGAAGAAGGCCUUCGGGUUGUAAAGCACUUUCGGAGGGGAGGAGAAUGACGUUACCCUCAGAAGAAGCACCGGCUAACUCCGUGCCAGCCGCUGC